GGUUCGAUCCUGGCUCAGAUUGAACGCUGGCGGGAUACUUUACACAUGCAAGUCGAACGGCAGCACGGACUUCCGGUCUGGUGGCGAGUGGCGAACAGGUGAGUAAUGUAUCGGAACGUGCCUAGUAGCGGGGGAUAACUGCGCGAAAGCGUAGCUAAUACUACCUUACGCCCACAUCGGGGAAAGCGAGACCUGGGCCUCGCACUGGCCGACGGCCGAUAUCGGAUUAGCUAGUUGGUGGGGUAACGGCUCACCAAGGCGACGAUCCGUAGCUGGUUUGAGGACGACCAGCCGCUGGGACUGAGACACGGCCCAGACUCCUGCGGGAGGCAGCAGUGGGGAAUUUUGGACAAUGGGGGAAACCUGAUCAGCCAUCCCGCGUGUGCGAUGAAGGCCUUCGGGUUGUAAAGCACUUUUGGCAGGAAAGAAACGGCACGGGAUAAUACCCCGUGCAACUGACAGUACCUGCAGAAUAAGCACCGGCUAACUACGUGCCAGCAGCCGCGGUAAUACGUAGGGUGCAAGCGUUAAUCGGAAUUACUGGGCGUAAAAGCGUGCGCGAGCGGUUCGGAAAAGAAAGAUGCUUGAAAUCCCAGAGUAACUUUGGAACUGCAUUUUUUAACUUUACCGAGCUAGAGUGUGUCAGAGGAGGUGGAAUUCCGCGUGUAGCAGUGAAAUGCGUGGUGUGCGGAGGAACACCGAUGGCGAAGGCAGCCUCCUGGGAUAACAUAACGCUCAUGCACACGAAAGCGUGGGGAGCAAACAGGAUUAGAUACCCUGAAGCUGAUCCACGCCCUAAACGAUGUCAACUAGCUGUUGGGGCCUUCAGACGCCCGGUGGCCUGUACGCGUGAAGUUGACCGCCGCAAGUACGGUCGCAAGAUCAAAGCUCAAAGGAAUUGACGGGGACCCGCACAAGCGGUGGAUGAUGUGGAUUAAUUCGAUGCAACGCAAAAACCUUACCUACCCUUGACAUGUCUGGAAUCCCGAAGAGAUUUGGGAGUGCUCGCAGAGAACCGGAACACAGGUGCUGCAUGGCUGUCGUCAGCUCGUGUGUGAGAUGUUUGGGUUAAGUCCCGCAACGAAGCGCAACCCUUGUCAUUAGUUGCUACGAAAGGGCACUCUAAUGAGACUGCCGGUGACAAACCGGAGGAAGGUGGGGAUGACGUCAAGUCCUCAUGGCCCUUAUGGGUAGGGCUUCACACGUCAUACAAUGGGUCAGGACAGAGAGGGGUCGCCAACCCGCGAGGAGCCAAUCCCAGAAACCCGAUCGUAGUCCGGAUCGCAGUCUGCAACUCGACUGCGUGAAGUCGGAAUCGCUGGUAAUCGCGGAUCAGCAUGUCGCGGUGAAUACGUUCCAGGUCUUGUACACACCGCCCGUCACACCAUGGGAGUGGGUUUUACCAGAAGUGAUUUCAGCCCUGUGUAGGAGGGCGUUACCGACGGUAGGAUUCAUGACUGGGGUGAAGUCGUAACAAUUG
rnacentral:rRNA from 1 species